UACGAAGGGGGCUAGCGUUGCUCGGAAUCACUGGGCGUAAAGCGCACGUAGGCGGGUUCUUAAGUCGGUGGUGAAAUCCUGGAGCUCAACUCCAGAACUGCCUCCGAUACUGAGAGUCUAUGAGUCCGGGAGAGGUGAGUGGAACUGCGAGUGUAGAGGUGAAAUUCGUAGAUAUUCGCAAGAACACCAGUGGCGAAGGCGGCUCACUGGCCCGGUACUGACGCUGAGGUGCGAAAGCGUGGGGAGCAAACAGG
rnacentral:rRNA from 1 species